AAUAGAUACCCGGUAGUCCACGCCGUAAACGAUGUCGACUUGGAGGUUGUUCCCUUGAGGAGUGGCUUCCGGAGCUAACGCGUUAAGUCGACCGCCUGGGGAGUACGGCCGCAAGGUUAAAACUCAAAUGAAUUGACGGGGGCCCGCACAAGCGGUGGAGCAUGUGGUUUUAAUUCGAUGCAACGCGAAGAACCUUACCUACUCUUGACAUCCACGGAACUUAGCAGAGAUGCUUUGGUGCCUUCGGGAACCGUGAGACAGGUGCUGCAUGGCUGUCGUCAGCUCGUGUUGUGAAAUGUUGGGUUAAGUCCCGCAACGAGCGCAACCCUUAUCCUUUGUUGCCAGCGGUUAGGCCGGGAACUCAAAGGAGACUGCCAGUGAUAAACUGGAGGAAGGUGGGGAUGACGUCAAGUCAUCAUGGCCCUUACGAGUAGGGCUACACACGUGCUACAAUGGCGCAUACAAAGAGAAGCGACCUCGCGAGAGCAAGCGGACCUCAUAAAGUGCGUCGUAGUCCGGAUUGGAGU
rnacentral:rRNA from 1 species